GAGGCCCCCAGGCGCGGGGGCGCGCGGGGCGCUACUGCGGGGGUGUCUGGCCGCGGGCCCGGCGGCGGCGCCUCCCUGGCUGCGGCCCUCGCUCCAUCGCGCAGUCUCCCGGCGGCCUCUGGCUCCAGGACCCGGCGGCGGCGGCGGCGGCGGCGGGCGCCCGGCGCUUGAGACGCUGCCGCCCAUUGGCUCGCCGUGUCCGCCACCCCCAUUGGUCCGUCCCGGCCGAGCACCAGCGGCGGCGCACGUCACGGCGUCGGGCAGGCCUGUGACCCGCCUGAGGCGGGACUGGGCGGACGUCCCGGUGGUGAUUGGCCAGGGUCGUGCGUAGGGUCGCACGGGGCGUGGGGUAGCCGGCCACUGGAUUGGCUGCCUGCAUCGCAAAGGGAGGGGGAGGUGAGUCUUUCGUUCUCGGAGAUCAUGAUUGGGCGCUCCAAGUGCCGGAAGUGAAGAGGAGACUGGAAGAGAAAUCGGGUCUGGUGGACAUCGGGGAUGAAAUGUCGGCAGUGCGGACUGCAGAUCCUGCUCGUCGUGGAGCCGUCCCUCCUGCCCGCUGCUCGUCUUCAGGGACCAGGUCUGCGCCCGCAGACGCGGCCCUCGUCAGCGAUGCUCAGCUUGGCAGGACGCCGCCGGGGCCCGGGAGGACGGUGUCCCGAGACUCUGGGGCGAGUCUCCUCUGGAUGUUGUGAGACGAAACGGUGCAUGGAAGUCUCCGCUUCGCUGUUGGUGACACCGUGCAGGCAGGUCGCCUCUGCUCGCGUCUGGAGACCCUGUCGGCCUCGGAGAAAGCUUCCCGUAAAUCGGAAACAUCCACGAGGCGUUCUCGUUGCUUAUCUAGUAUAAAGGAAAGGUGGGGUACCUUGGCGAAUGAAAGUUAUAAUUUAUGAGGGGAAGCAGAUGGUCUUUUAUUUCACUUUUAGUUACACAAAAUGUGAAAUUGUUCGAUGGUGAUUUAACAGUAGUUAUUUUGUUUGCAGAUUUGAGCCAAAAUUAAACUUAUCAAGCCAGUGGUACAUCUGGGUUGUUUUAAAUGCAUGUGUGUAUUUGUCCAGAACAGCUAAACCAGGAAAGCCGGAUGCGUAGAAACAAUGCUCCUUUGUUUUCAUACCCUGUAUUUUAUUGACAUCUGGUAAGAAAAAUAUUUAUGGGGUUCAGACUGUGAAAUCAUGGAAUCGCAAAUUCCAGCAAGGACAGGACCUUAAGGCCACCAUUGCCACUUAGCACAGGAUAGUAAGACGACCUCCUGUUGUGCUGUCGGGGUUCCCAUCCCAGCCCUGCGCGCAGUCCUGCUGACCCUCGGUGUUUAAUUUAGCUCUCACAGGCUAGGUUUCUUUUUGGGGGAAAUGGGAGCAAUAAACAGCACUUCUGUCAUAGGGUCAUCAGGAAAAUUAAGUGAGGAAUAUGUGAAACCUCUAAAACAGUGCAUGGCAGUUGGAAGGUCGGUGGAAGUAUUGCAUAUAUAUACUAUCAUUCAAUAGAUUUCUGAAUUUUUUUAAAAAAAGAAGGUUGUCCCAAACAAUAACCAAGAGUCUUUCAAUCUCUGGGAUGCACCCCUUCCCCAAUAACUUGAUUGCAUUGGGGGGUGGGAACCUGAUAAAAACAGCCAACCAUGGCCUGACAAGCACCCAUGAAAAGACAGCCAAGCCAGGGUUCCCAUAUUUGCCUCACUGUGAAAAUUACUCUGUAAAAUUGAUGAAAUUGAGAGUCCCAGGGCCCGCCUGAAUCAAUCUGGAUGGGAGGGGACCAGGAAUUGGUGGUUUUUGUUUUGGUAUCUGACAGCACGCAUCCUUGGGAAAAUUUGAAAAACACUGACCUAAGCCAAUCAGAUAUUCUUAAAGUUGGAAGUAUAAAUAAAGAAGGUAAUUUGCCUUGGAAAUUGAAAACAUGAAGUUCCACAGAAAGGGACGCUAUUAAGUGAAAACUAUAUGACAGAGAAAAGAAGUGUGGAGGUAAGGGACAGAAUUAAGCCAUUUGAUGUGUUAUUUCAACCGUUUACUGAGGGCCUGUCAGGGGCCAGGCUACACACAGUGCUGGGAACCCGCAGGGACAGGGCAGCCAAGUGUCCAUCAUCAGAGGGGUUGGAUGAGCCUCAGGCGGGUUGACACGUUCACCAGCCACCACGGAAGGGCCUGGGUUUGAAAGAAAUGGGGUUAUGAAAGAAUACAGCCUGGGGCCACUUGAAUACAGUUUCCCUGAGUUAUGGAUGUUUGAGCAGCUGUCAAAAGGUUGAGAAAUGGUGAACUGUGUGAGAUGUGGCCAUUCCAGGUCUGUGCUGUCCCAAACGUAGCCCCCGGCCAUGUGUAACAGCUGAGGACUUGGGCCAAAUUGGGAUAUGCUAUAAAUAUAUAACACACAGUGGAUUUUGAGGACCAAGCACAAAGAAAAGCAUGUAAAAUGUUUCAGUUUUCCUGCAUGUUAUAUGUUGAAAUGAUAAUAUUUUGGAUAUUUUAUUGCAUUAAAUAUAAUGUUAAAAUUCA